rnacentral:rRNA from 1 species
UACGUAGGGGGCAAGCGUUGUCCGGAAUCAUUGGGCGUAAAGCGCGUGUAGGCGGUUCGGUAAGUCUGCUGUGAAAGUCCAGGGCUCAACCCUGGGAUGCCGGUGGAUACUGUCGGGCUAGAGUACGGAAGAGGGGAGUGGAAUUCCCGGUGUAGCGGUGAAAUGCGCAGAUAUCGGGAGGAACACCAAUUGCGAAGGCAGCUCGCUGGGACGUCACUGACGCUGAGACGCGAAAGCGUGGGGAGCAAACAGG